UACGUGAGGGUGCAAGCGUUGUCCGGAAUUAUUGGGCGUAAAGAGCUCGUAGGCGGUCUGUCGCGUCGGCUGUGAAAACCCGAGGCUCAACCUCGGGCCUGCAGUCGAUACGGGCAAACUAGAGUACUGCAGGGGAGACUGGAAUUCCAGGUGUAGCGGUGAAAUGCGUAGAUAUCUGGAGGAACACCGGUGGCGAAGGCGGCUCACUGGCCCGGUACUGACGCGUGAGGUGCGAAAGCGUGGGGAGCAAACAGG
rnacentral:rRNA from 1 species